rnacentral:rRNA from 1 species
GAUGGAAGAAAUAAGAUGCAUUGGAGUUCUUGGGCAUGGCUGUCGGCUCCGAAAUCACUUGGUGGCAUGGGUUUCCGCGACAUGGUUUUGUUCAAUCAAGCUUUGCUGGGUAAGCAAGGGUGGAGGUUGCUAACUGAGCCCAAUUCUUUGUGUACCCACGUUCUGAAGGGUAGAUACUUCCCCAACUGCAGUUUUCUGAAUGCUCCUAUUCCACACACGGCUUCGGCCACUUGGCAUGGCAUUAUUCAUGGUCGUGACCUAUUGAAGAGGGGAGUAUAG